rnacentral:misc_RNA from 1 species
GAAAUGUUCUUUGAUAAAACCAUAAAGCACACUCCUUUAUAUUUUUCAUCAAGAGUUGAAGAUAUCUCUAACAUAAUUUUUUUCCCUUUUAGUGAUAUAUUACUGUGACUUUUGAAAAACAUUAGAAAUAUCAGCAGGCAAGGAUAAUAAAAGAAAAUUUAAAAAAAUAAAUAAAUAGAAGAACACAUUGUGACUUGGCAAAUGGGCUGUAAAAUUGUUGAAACACUUAAAAGUAUAAUAUUCAUUUAACUAUUUGAUGGAUGUGCAUUUUUAUCAAUUGUUGAAAUUAUAUGUUGCAUGAAGUUUUAGUUACUUUCAAAAAAGGAAAAGAAAAGAAAUUAUACUUUGCGGGCUUUAAAGGAUUUCUCUUCAAUUGGAUUAUCCUAAGUUCUAAUCUUUGUGCGUGAUAACACUUUUGAGUGUAGUCAGAAGGAAUUAUUAGAGCAAUAACAAAUUGUAAAACAUAAAUUAUCAUUCACAAUUGCUUGCAUUGAGUCAGUCCAUUAGAUUAUAGCUAGAAAAACAUGACUAAAUCUCAAAACUAUUACAUAUUCCUUUGCCAUGGGCUGGAUAGGAUUGGGCACCCCUAUAUCAUAAUAGAUGAUGCAAAUUUGUGUUUUAGUUCUAUUUUGACUUUGUUUGUUGCUAAGGAAAGUACCUCGUGUUUUUCAUUAUAAAGCAUUAUCUGAAAGUGCUCAGAACAAUUUUGUUAGUUUGCAUAUCAACGGAGCUAUGUUAUGGUGGAAUUGGAAAGAAUGGUUACUAUAGGAUUAAAGCAAGUUGGGUGAACUGGAGAAAUGCCACCGGUGUCAUAAGUAAUCACAAAAUACCAAGUUGAAGGGAAAGUUUUAUAGGACCACUAUUUGACCAACUAUGAUUCAUGGGCCAGAUGACUAAACAUGUAAACAAUAUUAGCAUAGAAGAAAUGAGAAUAAUAAAAAGGAUAUAUUGAAAAUUUGAAAUGUAAGAAUGGGCCAGAUAAAGAAUAAAUGCAUUUAUAGAAAAGUAAAAAUUGCAUUUGUAAAGGAAAUGUUGAGAAAUGGGAUAUUAAGAUAGUUUGGAAAUGUGCAUCAUAGACCAAUAAAUACGCCAUUAUAGAUAGUUUACCAUAUUUAAGUUGCAGGAGAAAAGAAAGCAAGAGGUAGACCUAGAAUGAAUUAAGAGGAAGUAAGAUGUAAUCACGCUAAAUCUUUUUGAAGAUGUAGUCCUAAACUAGGUGGAGCAGAGAAAAUUGAUCCAAGUAGUGAACCUCAACUAGUUUGGGAUGAAAACUUAGUUAAGUUGCAUCUCAUAGAUAUCUAUUUUUCAGAAUGGACCAUGCAAAUCUGACAUGUUUAGGCUUUAGGGAGACAGGUUUCACUUUGUACUUUUUGACAUCAGACCAUAAUAGAGGACUUCCCAAUAAUUCUUACAAUUUCUAAUAUUUUCUUGAACCUUUUAAUAAAUAAGCAUAAAAAAGCUGCUGCACUUCAUUUAUCUCUACAGCCUUUUUAUUUAUUGGCAAUGAUCAAAUAGACAAGCUAUAACUCAUUUCUGGAAACUGGAAACCAUUUCUGGUAGUGGUGAGGCAUAGAAAUUGGUUUUUGAGCAGAUUACUCUCACACUUAAAUUCUCCCAUUUGGUAAUCCUUGAUAUUUUUUUAUUUAUAUUCAUUUCGAAAUAAAUUGAAAUGAAAUAUGGUUUGAGUAAGAACCUUUUGCAAUUGAUAGAUAAGUUUUGUGCUUGU